AAUUAAGUAGUUUAAUAAAAACCUUAAAUUGUAAAUUUAAAAUUAGAUUUUCUCUUAAUUA
rnacentral:tRNA from 1 species